GGGAUGACAUUUGCUUUAUACCUGAUGUAGCUUGUUAGCUUGCUAGAUGGAAAGUUUCAUGGCACUAGUGAACCUGAAGCUGAACUUGUGAUCUGAACAUGACAUGAACUUAAUUCACAACGGAAAUUUCUGUUAUGAACUUCAGGCCAGGGAAGCUGUAGAAGCACAAUCUGUACUGUAGGUAGGCAACACUUGCGUGUCCAGUCCUGUCCUGUGCCACUACCACUGUUCCAACUCGGGACAGUGAGACGAGAGCGUGGGAUAGGGGCGCGUGUACAGUGCAGUACUACUUUUUGCUUCAACUGCUGUUGAUGUCAGGUCAGGUGGCAGUCAAUUUAUUCCACAUUGAAUGUACACUGAGGUAUAUAUCACCACAGUAGGUCGAUGUAUUUGAUGGAGUUAUUUUGAUUGCAAUGAUUAUCUUGCAGAUGCUUGAUGCUGAAAGUGACGUGACAAGAGGACAUUGCCUUUCAUUAGCAGUGCCACUGCAUUGGUUGACACCAUAAGGGAAUCGGUCGUCCUUGCCCGGAACAACUGCUCCACUUUACUGAUGAUAUUGAAGGCCUGCGAUGGACGUCCAUGUGUGGAUGUAAGGUGUGGCACCCCCAACCAAACUUGAAGGGGUCAGCCGUGUAUGGGACCAAGGAUGCAGAGGACAAGAAGGGUGUGUAGUAUGUAGUAUGUGUAGUUUAUGGUUUAGGUCCAAAUGAAGGGACCCUCCAACAUCUCCAACACCUCCUGUCACACCUCUAGCCAAAUGUGCUACAUCUUCCUCAGUUAACCUUCUUGUAGGUGCGCAUAGUGUAUACAGCAUCCCUUGCACAUUGAGUCUUUGGUUGUUGACACACAGUUGUUGUUCAGACUUGGGAAUCUGAAAUGUUUUUCAGAAUGUCUUUGCAAAUCUAAAUGGGUCUAAGCCCUCCUUGUUAUGUUGCAGUCUCACCGUAUCUCCCCCUCGGCCUUUUUUGUGUUUGUUCCUGUUCUUGUUGUUGUUAAAACACACUUGUUCCACAUAUUGAAAAUGUAAUAUUCAUUCAAAUUAGCCAAGGCUAUAAAUGCUAUGAUGCUUUCUGUUGGGUUGUGCACAGCCCACAUGAUAUGUAUCUGUCCCUAUCAAAUAAACCAUAAACAAACAAACAAACAAUAAACAAAUGUAGUGAA